UAAGUAGGGGGCAAGCGUCGUUCGGAUUUACUGGGCGUAAAGGGCGCGUAGGCGGCGCGUAAAGUCGGACAUGAAAUCAUUGGGCUUAACCCAAUGGCUGUGCCCGAUACUUGCGUGCUUAGAGUGCGGGAGAGGCAAUCGGAAUUCUCGGUGUAGCGGUGAAAUGCGUAGAUAUCGAGAGGAACUCCAGUGACGAAGGUGGGUUGCUGGACCGACACUGACGCUGAGGCGCGAAAGCUAGGGGAGCAAACGGG
rnacentral:rRNA from 1 species